rnacentral:rRNA from 1 species
UACGUAGGGUGCAAGCGUUAAUCGGAAUUACUGGGCGUAAAGCGUGCGCAGGCGGUUUGUAAGUCUGACGUGAAAUCCCCGGGCUCAACCUGGGAAUUGCGUUGGAGACUGCAAGGCUGGAGUCUGGCAGAGGGGGGGUAGAAUUCCGACGUGAUAGCAGUGAAAUGCGUAGAGAUGUGGAGGAACACCGAUGGCGAAGGC